rnacentral:rRNA from 1 species
GACGAACGCUGGCGGCGUGCUUAACACAUGCAAGUCGAACGAUGAAGCUGGAGCUUGCUCCGGUGGAUUAGUGGCGAACGGGUGAGUAACACGUGAGUAAUCUGCCCUUGACUCUGGGAUAACUGCGGGAAACUGUAGCUAAUACCGGAUACGACACCUUCGGGCAUCCGAUGGGUGUGGAAAGAAUUUCGGUCAAGGAUGAACUCGCGGCCUAUCAGCUAGUUGGUGAGGUAAUGGCUCACCAAGGCGACGACGGGUAGCCGGCCUGAGAGGGUGACCGGCCAAACUGGGACGGAGACACGGGCCAGACUCCUACGGGAGGCGAGCGUGGGGAAUAUUGCGCAAUGGGCGAAAGCCUGAUGCAGCAACGCCGCGUGAGGGAUGGAGGCCUUCGGGUUGUAAACCACUUUUAGUUGGGAAGAAGCGAAAGUGACGGUACCAACAAAAAAAGCACCGGCUAACUACGUGCCAGCCGCCGCAGUAA